GCUCAGAAACUCAAAGGAAUUGACGGGGCCCGCACAAGCGGUGGAGCAUGUGGUUUAAUUCGAUGAUACGCGAGGAACCUUACCUGGGCUCAAAUGUAUGUUGACGUAUUCUGAAAGGGAUACUUCUUCGGACAAUAUACAAGGUGCUGCAUGGUUGUCGUCAGCUCGUGCCGUGAGGUGUCGGGUUAAGUCCCAUAACGAGCGCAACCCCUAUCAUUAGUUGCCAUCAGGUCAAGCUGGGGACUCUAAUGAAACUGCCUACGCAAGUAGUGAGGAAGGUGGGGAUGACGUCAAAUCAGCACGGCCCUUACGUCCAGGGCUACACACGUGCUACAAUGGCCGGUACAAAGGGCAGCUACCUGGUGACAGGAUGCAAAUCUCCAAAGUCGGUCUCAGUUCGGAUCGGAGUCUGCAACCCGACUCCGUGAAGUUGGAUUCGCUAGUAAUCGCGCAUCAGCCAUGGCGCGGUGAAUACGUUCCCGGGCCUU
rnacentral:rRNA from 1 species